rnacentral:rRNA from 1 species
GAUGAACGCUAGCGGCGUGGAUUAGGCAUGCAAGUCGAACGCGAAAGUAGGAGCAAUCCUACAAGUAGAGUGGCGAACGGGUGAGUAACGCGUGAGAAACCUGCCUUCAACAGGGGGAUAACAUUCCUAACGGGAUGCUAAUACCGCAUGAGACCACGGGAUCGCAUGAUCCUGAGGUCAAAGGUGGCCUCUAUUUAUAAGCUACCGGUUGAAGAUGGUCUCGCGUCCCAUUAGCUAGUUGGCGGUGUAAAAGACCACCAAGGCGACGAUGGGUAGCUGGU